AGUGUGGUCCUGGUUUGUCCACACUUCUGGCUGGGUUUCUUCAUAGUCCCUAUUGUGUGCCUGAUUCUAAAUCUACUAUGGACAUCGAUUAGAAAUACCUGCAACAGAACGUUACUAGAAGAAGUUCGUAAGAUGGAAAGAGGCAGAGUUCAAGAACUUCAUCUUCCAACAGCGUUUGAAAAGAGCGUGAAGACAGAACACCUCCAACUGCCUCUGUCCAGCCAGCUG